rnacentral:rRNA from 2 species
GACGAACCGUGCGAACGUUAUUCGGAAUCACUGGGCUUAAAGCGCGUGUAGGCGGCCCGGCACGUCCGUCGCUGAAAGCCCCCGGCUCAACCGGGGAAGGGGCGCGGAUACGACCGGGCUGGAGGGGGGUAGGGGGCGCCGGAACGGCCGGUGGAGCGGUGAAAUGCGUUGAGAUCGGCCGGAACGCCCGUGGCGAAAGCGGGCGCCUGGACCCCGCCUGACGCUGAGACGCGAAAGCCAGGGGAGCGAACGGG